rnacentral:lncRNA from 1 species
AUUUUCGUUAUAAAAUUUAAAAUUUGUUUAAUUUUAAAUGUUAUUUUAUAUUUUUAAAAUAUGUUAUCAAAAUUUUCAGUGUUAUUCGUAUUAUCUUGUUACAUUAAUUAUUAGAUAUAUAUAAAUUAAUAUUUUAAUUAAAAAUUAAAAUUAAAAAUAUUAUAUUUAAUUAUUUUGAAAUAUAUGUGAAACAUAAACAACACUGCUGUCAAAAAAAAACACUAUAUAAUAUGAAAAAGACGAAAUACUAAAAAAAAUAAAAAUAUUGUAAAUUAAGUAAUUUAAGAAAAAAAAAUUAUCUUACCUAUCACUUACUAUUUAUUUCUCUUACCUAGGGGUGUCAAAAUGAGUCAAAUGGAUC